GGUCCAAAUCUCCCUCAUCUCAUCCGUCGAUCUUUCCCGACAAUCGAAUCCCAUCCGUCCAUUUCUUCCUCGUCCGCUCCGAAAUCACGCCUAUCGUUUACAAUUGUUUAAAGCGCUAUGGGUUCCAUUUGUCGCUGCGAAAAUAAUGGCCGUUCGAUUCGAAUCCGACGUCUUAAAUCGAUCGUACGGGUGAGAAAAGGAGGAGCGGAAAUGGUUUUAUUUUCGUGCUGGGAGUUCGAGGAAACCCUAGCUCCCCCCUUUUCCUUCUAGGGCUUGGAAAAUUGCUGCGGAAAUCGCUCGCGGUUCCACCAAUUCCCGCUCUCAAAAGCCUCGAUUUCGCGUCCUAAUCGAUUCCCCUCAACUUUUUCUCCCCGAUCGGUGGGGAAUUUGGUGUUUGUGCGCUCUUUUUCGAUCCAGGGUUCGUUAAUGGUAAGGAUUUGGGUUGAAUCGUUUGGGGUUUUGCUCUUGGAUCUAGAUUAGGGUUUCGAUCUGAGGCCUAUGUAUCAGAAUUUGGGGGUUUUCGUGUUUUCUUUCCUACCCAUUCAAUUCGGGUACAAUUGAGCUUUGACAAGUGGUGCCUCUGGAUUUCGCUUGUCAUGUAUGAUGGGAGAUGAAAUUUUGGGGCUCUUCUAUCUCAUAUUUCCAAUUGAGGGAAUUUAGAUGGAACUGAGCUUUGAAAAGUCUACUGCAUUAUCAAAAAGAUCAAAAAUUUUCCGCUUUCGGAGCUUUAAUAUUGGAAAAUCUAGGCAUUCCAUUGGAAAACCAAGGAUUGAAGAGCCGAAGGAUUUGAAGCGGAAAAGGAGGUUGUUGUUCGGGAGUGGAGGGCCAUUUGUUGUGGAAUCGAAGAAGAAAAGAAGCAGAAGGGAGGUCUCUUUGAGCAGUCUCAAUCGUAGUAACAAGAGUGAUUUGAGUAAUUCGAGAUCUAAGCUCAAUGGGCUCAAUUUGGGUGGUGAGAAGAAGGAAAACUCUAGCAAUACGAGUGAAUCUUUACUUAAUAUAACCUCUUUUAGAGAGUCCUCAACAGCGCAGAAAACUGAAUGUGGUACUACUAUUGGUUCAAGCAAUGCGGAGAAGGCUAAUGGAUUGGAUAGCAAUAUCGUGGUUCCCAAACGUCCCAGGGGCAUCUUCAAGAGAAAGAAAAGGGAGAGGUCUGUUGGUGGAAAGAGUGUAGCAAGUAAUUCUAAUUGCAAGACUGAGAACACUGAGGAUGCUCAGAAAACAAAAUUAUCCGAGUUCGAGGAGGUUGGUUCAACUGUACAACAUCCUGAUUCCAGUCUCAAGAUUGAAAAUAAGGAUUUCCUGCAACCUAAUGAGAAAAAGGUUAAACGUAGAAAAAGGCAUCGACCUGUAUUGGAAUGUAGGACAAAUGUGGACAGUGAAGCCUGCUUGAGUGAAGAUAAUGAGAAGGCUUGUGAAGAGUUCUUAGACGAUGAUGAUGGAGAGAAUCUUGAACAAAAUGCUGCUAGGAUGCUUUCGCUACGAUUCGAUCCAAGAUGCAUUGGAUUCCCCGAGGAUAGCAUGGCCCCUCAAAAACUUGAAGAAGGUUCGUGUUUGCUGCCAACUGGCAAGAAAUUCGAUGAAACAAGUAGAGUUUUACGGCCCAGGAAGCAUGACGGUAAAAGUUUUGCAAGGAAGCGUAGGCAUUUCUAUGAGGUCUUUUCCAGUGACGUUGAUCCUUAUUGGAUGGUAAAGCAGAGGAUAAGAGUCUUCUGGCCCCUUGAUGGAAGUUGGUAUUUUGGUGUAGUGAAGGAAUACGAUCCUAUAACAAAGAAACACCAUAUCAAAUAUGAUGACAGGGAGGAAGAAUGGAUCAAUCUUCAGAAUGAGAGAUUUAAAUUGUUACUUUUUCCUAGUGAAAUGUCAAGUAAAUAUGACUACGGAAAACCAGUAUUGACCAUAAAACGAGAGACCGAAAGUUGCGAUAGAAAUGCAGUAGAUGAUAGCUGCGACGAAUGUAUUAUGGAGUCAGUUCCAAUUAUCUCAUGGUUGGCUCACAUAAGAAACCCCAUGAGAUCGACCGCACCUAUUACCAAUAAGAAAAAGCGAAAGAGUCAACUAGUUAAUGACCCUGAACCUAAAACCAUGUCUGUGCGCAAAAAUCGUAGGGCUGCUAGUCACUCUAGUGUGAUUUCUACUUUAUCGUCUACUGGUAAUGCUGCUACUACUAUUGCAUUAGAUGACAAUGAAAGUCAAGUUUCUCUGCUAGUAAGAAAAGAUUGCUCCAAAAAUAGGAAGGUAUCAAUUGUUUAUUUCAGAAAACGGUUUCGCAAGAAGGGGUUGGCUUUGGAUGAGUUGCCACAAAAGGGACUGCGCAUCUGCAUCACGCAAGUAGAACCUAAUAAAUUGACUUUGGAGUUGCGGAUAUCGCUUAAAAGCAUUUAUUACCGUACAUUUCGAACUGAAGAUGCUUGGUUAUCUAGGCAAAACUUUCUCUCUUAUUACGGUAAAUUAGUGCUAAUCUGGCCAGCUGUUCGCAUGGAAAUUGCUUUUGUUGAUAAAACUCUGGGCUCAAGAAAAUUUUCAUUUGAAGGAUGUUUCAAGGGGGCUGUUUCUCUUUUGUGUUUUGUUAUGAAAACAUUCUGCCUACAAGAAGAAUGCUGCAAGCUAUUAGAGAUAGAAAUGCCUUCGACCUCAAUUGCAAUUAAGGUUUUAGACUUGCAUGACCAAAGAAUGCAGUUUUUUUCCUUCCGGUACUACUACUGGGAGAUGGAGAGGUCAAAGCAGAGGCUGCUGAAAAACAACUUUAAACAAUAUUGUUUGUUGUUUAGUGAGCCGGCCAUAUCUAACUUCAGAGACGAUAACAUCGAGAAUCUUUCAAAUAGAAAGGAUCAUGCCUCAGUUCUUGAAGACUCAGUUUUUACGGAUGCUCUCUCGGUAAGUAAUGAUGUUGAUUGUAUGCGCUCGUUCGGCAAGCAUAGUCAGACUGAUCAAAGGAAGAAUGAAGAUGAGCAAACAGUCAUCAUACUCGAAAAGAAUGGUUCUCCUGGCCAACCUGAAGCAAGGCAUAAUGAUUGUAUGAAUGUUGUCAAUAUCGAGACUGAUAAUCUACAUAGUCGAGUUGAAGAAGAAUUAAAUGGUAUGGAAAGCCAAAUUAGCCAAUCUUCAUCCAAAGUGGAUCAGGAAAAGAAUAUUCAAAGUUUGUACGGCUCAAUUACAAGGGAUUCAGAGAACAUGCAGCAUGAUAAUCGGCUCUCUUCGGCUUCACCUAGAUCUGUCCCUUAUUCGAAAUUGUGGUCAGAAAAUUUCAUUCAAAAUGGAUUCACCUCCAGGAAGCCGCGCACUAGGAUUUCAUAUAUAUCACCAAAUUUAGGCCAUGAUAUCAGUUUAAAACACCACAUUCAACAAAAAAAAGGACAGACUUAUAAGAAAAUUAGAAUUGAUAAACCAGAUAUGGAAUGUUCUGCAAACGUUCUGGUCACACUAGGGGAUAGGGGCUGGAGGGAAUCUGGAGCAUUGGUUGUUCUCAACUCUCUCAAUCAAAAGGACUACUGGAUUUUGGUAAAACUUUCUGGGAUUACUAAAUAUGUGCAUAAAGCAAACCAAUUUCUGCAGCCUGGUAUUCCAAAUCGUUUUACCCAUGCUAUGAUGUGGAAAGGAGGAAAAGAUUGGAUGUUGGAAUUUACUGAUCGAAGCCAGUGGUCGCUGUUCAAGCUGAUGCAUGAAGAGUGCUACAAUCGGAACCUUAGGGCUGCUUCUGUAAAGAAUAUUCCAAUUCCUGGUGUGCGAUUAAUUGAUGAUUUUGACGAGUCUAUAGUUGAAAAGCCGUUUAUAAGCACUUCAUUGAAGUAUCACCAAGAGGUGGGGACUGAGGUUGAUAGGGCUUUGGAUCCGUGUAACACAUUAUAUGAUAUGGAUAGUGAUGAUGAGGAAUGGACUAAAACUUUUGAUAGCUCUUGUGGUAAUGAUGAUAGUAUAGUGGCUGAGAAUGACCUGGAUAUAUUUGAGAGGGUGAUGGACAUGUUUGAGAAAGUUGCAUAUGCUAAAAACUCUGAUCAGUUCACUGCUGAAGAACUAGAGGAAUUUAUGACUGAGCUUGCUCCACUGGACAUUAUUACAGCUAUCUAUGAAUACUGGCGACAAAAGAGACAGAAGAAGGGUUUGCCUCUGAUUCGGCAAUUUCAGCCUGCACUAUGGGAGAUUUAUGAGCAGCAGUUAAGGGACUGGGAAAUUGCAAUAAAUAAGAUGAAGAGUUCAUCAGACAUGCAUUUAGAAAAGGCUUGUAUUCUAGAGAGGCCUUCCAUGUUUGCUUUCUGUUUGAGGCCGCGGGGCCUGGAAGUACCAAACAAAGGUUCGAAACAAAGAUCCCAGAAGAGGUUCAUGUUUGCCGGUCACCACUCUUCUUCUCCAAGAGACCAUGAUACUCUUAAUCCUUUUGGCAAAAAAUCUGAAGAGUUAACACUUGGGGGUGGCAUUGCCUUAGCUUCUGUUGCAAAUCAUGAGCUCUCUUUCUCCCCUCGCUGGCACAAGUCUUCAUCUUGUUUCUCUUCAAAAGAUUCUCCAAGGACUGGAACCUUAAUCUUUACAAAGAACACCGUGUCUGUGCCUUAUAAGAAUUCUUCAAUUAUGCCAGCCUCAUAUGAUGGAAAAGCAAAGAGAAGUGGAGUUCGGCUGUCGAGUUCUGACGGGUUUCAGAGAGAACGACCUGAUAUCGGCGAAUUGAGAUUGCGUGAUGCAGCUAGUGCAGCUCAGCAUUUGUCAAACAUGGCCAAGUUAAAGAGAGAGAAAGCCCAAUGGCUGUUCCACAAAGCAGACCUCGCCCAUCAUAAGGCCGCUUUUGCACUCAUGAUUGCGGAGGCAAUAAAAGCGUCUGAUAGGGAUGUAACCGGUGAUGGGUAGCCUUAGAAGUGUAAGAAGAUAUACAAAGUGCCUAUUUUAUGUCGGUUUUGGUCGCCAAUUUCUUGCAUGAAGAUCAUAGCGGAGCUUCUCUGAGAUGUAUUUGUGGUAAAUUCCAUGGAAGAUCCAAUGUCAGAACUUCCGAUGCCAGAUCAAGUUGAUUUUUUUGAAGACUUCUCCAGCUGGUUUGAUUUGAAAGUUUUGGCUUUCUGCUAUAGCAUAUCUCCGUUUAAUUUCCGACUGUAUCCCAUCAAGCGGAUGGGCAUGUCGGUUAACUGAAGCAAUCAGAUUUGACGGAGGGGAUUUUGGCUAUUGUGUUAUCAGUCCCAAAUCAAAAUGUAAGUAAUGUACUAACUCUUUUCAUUCACCUAGCUUCAGAGUAAUGUUCAGCGAGAGUUGCUAACAACAUUUCAAGAAUCACGUAGGGAAAGUUAUGUCAUAGAUAUGUGUUGGUUUAUGUUCAUCUAUUACUAAUUUUUCCAUAUGUAAUGUAAUUUUGUUUGUGCUUA